AUGGCUCAUGGCAGCAGCGGCGACGGUGGCGGUGGAGGAGACAGAGCUCUGGCCGUGGUUCCCGUGGAAGUCAAGCCGCAGCGACAGCCUGCCCUCGACGUGCCGCCCUUCCUCAUCUUCGAAAAGUGCAGGGCACCGGAGCUCUUGGACUGCCAUGCCUGCCACCUCCCCUCAAACCGCCUAUCUUCGCGAUCGAUUAGAGUCAUGUGCGACGACGGGCAUCUGAUGUGCUCGUCCUGCCACGGCGCGCACGGCGAGGACUGCGGCCGCGUUGCCGCCCACUGCCGCCUGGCAGACGCCUACGCUGGCGCCGUCAAGCUGAUGUGCGACUACGUCAAGUUCGGCUGCGAGGCGGGGCUCGUCGUCUACCACGACUCCGUGGACCACCGCUGCGCGUGCCAGCACGCGCCCUGCUACCCCUGA
rnacentral:rRNA from 1 species